GAACGCGACAGGGGCAACUCUGUUGGGUGGCGCACGGGUGAGUAACACGUAGGUAAUCUCCCCCCGAGUGGUGGAUAACUUUCCGAAAGGAGAGCUAAUACAGCAUAAGACCACGGCUUCGAAAGGAGCUGAGGUCAAAGCGGAGGAUCGCAAGACUUCGCGCUUGGGGAUGAGCCUGCGGCCCAUCAGGUAGUUGGCGGGGUAAUGGCCCACCAAGCCUUAGACGGGUAGCUGGUCUGAGAGGAUGAUCAGCCACACUGGAACUGAGACACGGUCCAGACUCCUACGGGAGGCAGCAGUGGGGAAUCUUGCGCAAUGGACGAAAGUCUGACGCAGCGACGCCGCGUGGGUGAUGAAGGCCUUCGGGUUGUAAAGCNCCUGUGGGGAGGGACGAAUAAGUUGCAGCUAAUACCUGCAGCGAUGACGGUACCUCCUUAGCAAGCACCGGCUAACUCUGUG
rnacentral:rRNA from 1 species